AUUGAACGCUGGCGGCAGGCCUAACACAUGCAAGUCGAACGAGUGGCGGACGGGUGAGUAAUGUGUGGGAAACUGCCUGAUGGAGGGGGAUAACUAGUGGAAACGGUAGCUAAUACCGCAUACCAUCAGAUGUGCCCAGAUGGGAUUAGCGAGUUGGUGGGGUAACGGCUCGCCAAGGCGACGAUCCCUAGCUGGUUUGAGAGGAUGACCGGCCAAACUGGAACUGAGACACGGUCCAGACUCUUACGGGGGGAAGCAGUGGGGAAUAUUGCACAAUGGGCGCAAGCCUGAGGCGGCCAUGCCGCGGGUAUGAAGCAGGCCUUCGGGUUGUAAAGUACUUUCAGCGGGGAGGCGUUACCCGCAGAGGAAGCACCGGCUAACUCCGUGCCAGCCGCCGCGGUAAUAC
rnacentral:rRNA from 1 species